rnacentral:rRNA from 1 species
UACGAAGGGGGCUAGCGUUGCUCGGAAUCACUGGGCGUAAAGGGCGCGUAGGCGGGCCUUUAAGUCAGGGGUGAAAUCCUGGAGCUCAACUCCAGAACUGCCUUUGAUACUGAGGAUCUUGAGUCCGGGAGAGGUGAGUGGAACUGCGAGUGUAGAGGUGAAAUUCGUAGAUAUUCGCAAGAACACCAGUGGCGAAGGCGGCUCACUGGCCCGGUACUGACGCUGAGGCACGAAAGCGUGGGGAGCAAACAGG